GUCAUAUGCUUGUCUCAAAGAUUAAGCCAUGCAUGUCUCAGUACAAGCCGCAUUAAGGUGAAACCGCGAAAGGCUCAUUAAAUCAGUUAUGGUUCCAUAGAUCGUACCCACAUUUACUUGGAUAACUGUGGUAAUUCUAGAGCUAAUACAUGCAAACAGAGUUCCGACCGGAGACGGGAGGAAUGCUUUUAUUAGAUCAAAACCAAUCGGCGGCGGGUGCGUUCGCGCGCCCGUUCGCCGCUCAACCUGGUGACUCUGAAUAACUUUCGGCUGAUCGCACGGUCCAGCACCGGCGACGCAUCUUUCAAAUGUCUGCCUUAUCAACUGUCGAUGGUAGGUUCUGCGCCUACCAUGGUCGUAACGGGUAACGGGGAAUCAGGGUUCGAUUCCGGAGAGGGAGCCUGAGAAACGGCUACCACAUCCAAGGAAGGCAGCAGGCGCGCAAAUUACCCACUCCCGGCACGGGGAGGUAGUGACGAAAAAUAACGAUACGGGACUCAUCCGAGGCCCCGUAAUCGGAAUGAGUACACUUUAAAUCCUUUAACGAGGAUCAAUUGGAGGGCAAGUCUGGUGCCAGCAGCCGCGGUAAUUCCAGCUCCAAUAGCGUAUAUU
rnacentral:rRNA from 1 species